CAUAGGUUAAUGAGGCGAACCGGGGGAACUGAAACAUCUAAGUACCCCGAGGAAAAGAAAUCAACCGAGAUUCCCCCAGUAGCGGCGAGCGAACGGGGAGGAGCCCAGAGCCUGAAUCAGCAUGUGUGUUAGUGGAAGCGUCUGGAAAGGCGCGCGAUACAGGGUGACAGCCCCGUACACAAAAGCGCAUGUGCUGUGAGCUCGAUGAGUAGGGCGGGACACGUGGUAUCCUGUCUGAAUAUGGGGGGACCAUCCUCCAAGGCUAAAUACUCCUGACUGACCGAUAGUGAACCAGUACCGUGAGGGAAAGGCGAAAAGAACCCCGGCGAGGGGAGUGAAAAAGAACCUGAAACCGUGUACGUACAAGCAGUGGGAGCCCCACCACUAAGCCAGUGGUGAACUCCACAUACGCAUCCUUUGCUGAGGAUACGGUUAACGGAGCGAAAGCGACGUUCAACCGCAAAAGAAGCAGAGGGGGCUUAGUGGUGGGGUGACUGCGUACCUUUUGUAUAAUGGGUCAGCGACUUAUAUUCUGUAGCAAGGUUAACCGAAUAGGGGAGCCGGAGGGAAACCGAGUCUUAAUUGGGCGUUAAGUUGCAGGGUAUAGACCCGAAACCCGGUGAUCUAGCCAUGGGCAGGUUGAAGGUUGGGUAACACUAACUGGAGGACCGAACCGACUAAUGUUGAAAAAUUAGCGGAUGACCUGUGGCUGGGGGUGAAAGGCCAAUCAAACCGGGAGAUAGCUGGUUCUCCCCGAAAGCUAUUUAGGUAGCGCCUCGUGAAUUCAUCUCCGGGGGUAGAGCACUGUUUCGGCUAGGGGGCCAUCCCGGCUUACCAACCCGAUGCAAACUGCGAAUACCGGAGAAUGUUAUCACGGGAGACACACGGCGGGUGCUAACGUCCGUCGUGAAGAGGGAAACAACCCAGACCGCCAGCUAAGGUCCCAAAGUCAUGGUUAAGUGGGAAACGAUGUGGGAAGGCCCAGACAGCCAGGAUGUUGGCUUAGAAGCAGCCAUCAUUUAAAGAAAGCGUAAUAGCUCACUGGUCGAGUCGGCCUGCGCGGAAGAUGUAACGGGGCUAAACCAUGCACCGAAGCUGCGGCAGCGACGCUGAUGCGUUGUUGGGUAGGGGAGCGUUCUGUAAGCCUGCGAAGGUGGCCUGUGAGGGUUGCUGGAGGUAUCAGAAGUGCGAAUGCUGACAUAAGUAACGAUAAAGCGGGUGAAAAGCCCGCUCGCCGGAAGACCAAGGGUUCCUGUCCAACGUUAAUCGGGGCAGGGUGAGUCGACCCCUAAGGCGAGGCCGAAAGGCGUAGUCGAUGGGAAACGGGUUAAUAUUCCCGUACUUGGUGUUACUGCGAAGGGGGGACGGAGAAGGCUAUGUUGGCCGGGCGACGGUUGUCCCGGUUUAAGCGUGUAGGUGUGUGUUCCAGGUAAAUCCGGUUCACUUUAACACUGAGGCGUGAUGACGAGGCACUACGGUGCUGAAGCAACAAAUGCCCUGCUUCCAGGAAAAGCCUCUAAGCAUCAGGUAACAUCAAAUCGUACCCCAAACCGACACAGGUGGUCAGGUAGAGAAUACCAAGGCGCUUGAGAGAACUCGGGUGAAGGAACUAGGCAAAAUGGUGCCGUAACUUCGGGAGAAGGCACGCUGACACGUAGGUGAAGUGAUUUACUCAUGGAGCUGAAGUCAGUCGAAGAUACCAGCUGGCUGCAACUGUUUAUUAAAAACACAGCACUGUGCAAACACGAAAGUGGACGUAUACGGUGUGACGCCUGCCCGGUGCCGGAAGGUUAAUUGAUGGGGUCAGCGCAAGCGAAGCUCCUGAUCGAAGCCCCGGUAAACGGCGGCCGUAACUAUAACGGUCCUAAGGUAGCGAAAUUCCUUGUCGGGUAAGUUCCGACCUGCACGAAUGGCGUAAUGAUGGCCAGGCUGUCUCCACCCGAGACUCAGUGAAAUUGAACUCGCUGUGAAGAUGCAGUGUACCCGCGGCAAGACGGAAAGACCCCGUGAACCUUUACUAUAGCUUGACACUGAACAUUGAGCCUUGAUGUGUAGGAUAGGUGGGAGGCUUUGAAGUGUGGACGCCAGUCUGCAUGGAGCCGACCUUGAAAUACCACCCUUUAAUGUUUGAUGUUCUAACGUGGACCCGUGAUCCGGGUUGCGGACAGUGUCUGGUGGGUAGUUUGACUGGGGCGGUCUCCUCCUAAAGAGUAACGGAGGAGCACGAAGGUUGGCUAAUCCUGGUCGGACAUCAGGAGGUUAGUGCAAUGGCAUAAGCCAGCUUGACUGCGAGCGUGACGGCGCGAGCAGGUGCGAAAGCAGGUCAUAGUGAUCCGGUGGUUCUGAAUGGAAGGGCCAUCGCUCAACGGAUAAAAGGUACUCCGGGGAUAACAGGCUGAUACCGCCCAAGAGUUCAUAUCGACGGCGGUGUUUGGCACCUCGAUGUCGGCUCAUCACAUCCUGGGGCUGAAGUAGGUCCCAAGGGUAUGGCUGUUCGCCAUUUAAAGUGGUACGCGAGCUGGGUUUAGAACGUCGUGAGACAGUUCGGUCCCUAUCUGCCGUGGGCGCUGGAGAACUGAGGGGGGCUGCUCCUAGUACGAGAGGACCGGAGUGGACGCAUCACUGGUGUUCGGGUUGUCAUGCCAAUGGCACUGCCCGGUAGCUAAAUGCGGAAGAGAUAAGUGCUGAAAGCAUCUAAGCACGAAACUUGCCCCGA
rnacentral:rRNA from 1 species